rnacentral:rRNA from 1 species
UACGAAGGGGGCUAGCGUUGUUCGGAAUUACUGGGCGUAAAGGGCGCGUAGGCGGCGCGGUAAGCGUGCGGUGAAAGCCCAGGCUCAACCUGGGAGGGUCGUCGUGGACUGUACCGCUUGAGGGCGAUAGGGGCUGGUGGAAUGCCUGGUGUAGUGGUGAAAUUCGUAGAUAUCGGGAGGAACACCAGUGGCGAAGGCGGCGAUCUGGGUCGAUACUGACGCUGAGGUGCGAAAGCGUGGGGAGCAAACAGG